ACGUCAGUAACAAAAGGAAGCAGACUGACGUGUUUCUCACAGGAUACUGCGUUCAGAUUGAUCUGCUUCCUGAUCAGAGCUGCAGCACUACGGCGUGACCUCCAGUGACCUUUUACCGCCGUCACAGCGAUUACACGCGAUCAGGAUCCGAAACAACGUUCACAGGGACUCGAACGGCGGUUUCGUUUACGUACGAUGUGGUGAAGGAGUCUCCGGUUUCGGCUCCGUGUAACAGUCAGAGGUGAAGCUGGAGAGUUUACACGUCUUUAAUGUAUCGAGCUGUGAAGACAGAGAAUAAAGAGAGACCGGUGAAAUCGUCGUCUUCGUCUUGAGUUCGAGAAACUAUUUUGGGGUCUCCAGUGUGAGGUGUGUGUCUCAGUAGCAGGUGAAGCUGGAACGUGAUGUUCUCCACAUCUUCAGGACAGAGGAGUUUACACUCUUCAGAAACUAAAGACGACACACUGCAAUUUCUUUGUCUCAUUAACUUGUAGAGAGAGAAUAAAGAAAGACUGCUGAGGGAACUGCUGUUAUCUCUGCUGGAACAUCAGCUGAAUGAGGAAUUAACUCGUCUCAUGGAUGUUCCGCAACAUUAAACAUAGCUAGAAAUAAAAUAUUUGUUAAUUUAAUUUUUGAUAAAAACUGGAUUUUGGUAUUUA